AACAACCAAAACCUAAUUACAUUAAAACUUCCACCCCCACCAUACCUCUACCCUGCCGCCGACACUCCACCCCCGCCACACCCCUACCCCGGCGCCGACGCUCCAUCCCCACCACACCCCUCCCCGCCACUGACGCCCCAUCCCCACCACUGCGUGUCCUCCGUCGCCGCCGUUGCUAUCCGCCGCCACUAAAGGACAAGAACAUUACAAUAGAUUAAGGCCACUGAGCUACCGAGGAGCAGAUGUUUUUGUCCUAGCAUUCUUCUUGGUUAGUCGUGCGAGCUAUAAGAACAUACGUAAAAAGCAUUAUGCUCCUGCAAUUCCGGUGGUAUUAGCUGGCACAAAACUUGUUUCGUUGACAAGGAAAGAAAAGUUAAAAAAACGAAGAAGCUGAUCCUGCAUAUCCAAACUGCAACACUAUCACUGCCAAAUAUGGUAUUCCUUCCUUCACUAACUUCAAUAACCUUGUUGGCAUGCUUCUUUUUAAUUUGUAUACUAAU